UACCGGUGAAAGAACCACAGGGAUUGCCCCAGUAACGGCGAGUGAAGCGGCAACAGCUCAAAUUUGAAAUCUGGCCCCAGGCCCGAGUUGUAAUUUGCAGAGGAUGCUUUUGGCGCGGUGCCUUCCGAGUGCCCUGGAACGGGACGCCAUAGAGGGUGAGAGCCCCAUCUGGUUGGACACCAAGCCUAUGUAAAGCUCCUUCGACGAGUCGAGUAGUUUGGGAAUGCUGCUCUAAAUGGGAGGUAUAUGUCUUCUAAAGCUAAAUACCGGCCAGAGACCGAUAGCGCACAAGUAGAGUGAUCGAAAGAUGAAAAGCACUUUGAAAAGAGGGUUAAAUAGUACGUGAAAUUGUUGAAAGGGAAGCGCUUAUGACCAGACUUGGGCCCGGUGAAUCAUCCAGCGUUCUCGCUGGUGCACUUUGCCGGGCACAGGCCAGCAUCAGUUUGCCGCGGGGGAUAAAGGCUUCGGGAACGUGGCUCCCUCGGGAGUGUUAUAGCCCGUUGCACAAUACCCUGGGGCGGACUGAGGUUCGCGCAUCUGCUAGGAUGCUGGCGUAAUGGUCAUCAGCGACCCGUCUUGAAACACGGACCAAGGAGUCGUCUUCGUAUGCGAGUGUUCGGGUGUAAAACCCCUACGCGUAAUGAAAGUGAACGCAGGUGAGAGCUUCGGCGCAUCAUCGACCGAUCCUGAUGUUCUCGGAUGGAUUUGAGUAAGAGCAUACGGGGCCGGACCCGAAAGAAGGUGAACUAUGCCUGUAUAGGGUGAAGCCAGAGGAAACUCUGGUGGAGGCUCGCAGCGGUUCUGACGUGCAAAUCGAUCGUCAAAUAUGGGCAUGGGGGCGAAAGACUAAUCGAACCUUCUAGUAGCUGGUUUCCGCCGAGUCUCUCCCCCCAAAGAGAGAAGAAAAAC
rnacentral:rRNA from 1 species